AUGACUCUAUGACUCUAAGCUGUGAGGUCACAUCCAGAAGAACAGAGAUUCCCUGACCAAUUCUGAAAUCUCUGCAUAUCCUCCUACAAAUCAGACACUUUGCAAUUCAAAGUGUCAGUAAAAAAUGAAAAUGCAUUUGAUUCAGGCUUACAGUGGAUUUGUACAAUUGCCUUCCUCAGCACCAUGAAGGCUGAGCUGCAGGAUGGCACUGAUCCAGUUUCCACCUGAACCCAGGCAGCUGAAGCUGGACAAUCCAAUGUUUUGAGGAGCACCUAAAAAUGCAUACUCACCCCAAAUCACUGAUGCACAGAUACAUGGAACAAUCAUUUGGCUCCA